UUGGAGGGCAAGUCUGGUGCCAGCAGCCGCGGUAAUUCCAGCUCCAAUAGCGUAUAUUAAAGUUGUUGCAGUCAAAAAGCUCGUAGUUGAAUUUCGGGGUCAGUAGGCUGGUCGUGCCUCAGGUACGUACUGGUCUUACUGAUUCCUCCUUCCUGACGAACCGUAAUGCCAUUAAUUUGGUGUUGCGGGGAAUCUGGACUGUUACUUUGAAAAAAUUAGAGUGUUUAAAGCAGGCUAACGCUUGAAUACAUUAGCAUGGAAUAAUGAAAUAGGACGAUCGAUCCUAUUUUGUUGGUUUCUAGGAUUGACGUAAUGAUUAAUAGGGAUAGUUGGGGGCAUUAGUAUUCAAUUGUCAGAGGUGAAAUUCUUGGAUUUAUUGAAGACUAACUACUGCGAAAGCAUUUGCCAAGGAUGUUUUCAUUAAUCAAGAACGAAAGUUAGGGGAUCGAAGACGAUCAGAUACCGUCGUAGUCUUAACCAUAAACUAUGCCGACUAGGGAUCGGAUGAUGUUAAUUUUUUAAUGACUCAUUCGGCGCCUUACGGGAAA
rnacentral:rRNA from 1 species